UACGGAGGAUCCAAGCGUUAUCCGGGAUUACUGGGCGUAAAGAGCGCGCAGGCGGUCGAUCAAGUCGAGUGUGAAAGCCCCCGGCUCAACUGGGGAGGGUCAUUCGACACUGAUCGACUCGAAGGCAGGAGAGGGUAGUGGAAUUCCCGGUGUAGUGGUGAAAUGCGUAGAUAUCGGGAGGAACACCAAUUGCGAAUGCAGCUCGCUGGGACGUCACUGACGCUGAGACGCGAAAGCGUGGGGAGCAAACAGG
rnacentral:rRNA from 1 species